UACGUAGGCAGCAAGCGUUGUUCGGAAUUACUGGGCGUAAAGAGUGUGUAGGCGGUGCUCUAAGUUCGGUGUGAAAUCUCCUGGCUUAACUGGGAGGGUGCGCCGGAAACUGGAAUGCUCGAACGUGGGAGAGGAAAGCGGAAUUCCUGGUGUAGCGGUGAAAUGCGUAGAUAUCAGGAGGAACACCUGUGGUGUAGACGGCUUUCUGGACCAUUGUUGACGCUGAGACACGAAAGCGUGGGUAGCAAACAGG
rnacentral:rRNA from 1 species